CUCAUUUUUCUACUGCUCGUGGAUUUACGCGCACGUUGGAACCGAAGAGAGCUCUGUUGUUGCAAUGUUCAGCCCACAAGAGCUUACUGGUGAAGGAAUGGGACAAGACCCAUCUUUAUGCAAAGCCAGCGUUACAGUAAUGUUCCAGCAUCUCAUAAUCUAUCCUGGGGAAUUCAGCUGCCUCCCAGGGUGAAUACAGGUAUUCCUGAUGACAGUCUGCCUCUAUCUUACAGAGCAGCUUGUUGCUAUAUACCAUUGAAAAGCCUUCAGAGCUGAGAGGUUAGUUGAUAUUUUUUGUUCCUUACAGCUUAUGCCACCAAGUAGGCAGUUUCUAUGAUGAAUCAAACUAGCUCACUAUGACCGACAGUGAAAAUACAUGAACACCUGAGAAACUGGAGAACGCAGGGAGUGGGGGGUAACCAUGUCUGAGGAAUCUUUCACCCACAGCUUUGUUUUUCUCUAGGUACUACUAACCAAUAACCUGCUUGGCUCAAAGGGCCAGCACCUUCUCUCUAAAGCCCAAGAGGAGUUUGAGGUAAAUGGCUUUGCAAUAGUUACCAUCAAUGGCUGCUAUAUAAAAUUUUCUGUGAUUUUUGUGUGUGAUAGCACUGUGGUCUGGGUGAAUGUACACAGACAUAACUGGCUUAACCCAAAGUCUUUGAUCUCCUGAACCACCAGUGAUGAAUUGCUGCUCACCAGUGAUGAGUUGAAUACCGCCCCAGUCUGAUCAAUGUGUGACUGAAAGGUAUUUUCUGAGCUGUGAGCCUGCCUUCCAGUGACAUGUUCUAAAAAUUGCAAGUUAUUUGAGGAGGCUUUACAGCCAAUAGGAAGUUCUUGGGCUAAGUAGUGUUUCCUAUAAAAUGUGCCCUGAAACUUCUUUCUGCCAAGCAAUAGAUACAAUUGAGAGAUUGUAAAAUGUGACAUAGAAUGAAAGUCUCUCAAGACUACAUUUUUCUUUCUUGAUUUUGCAGGAAAACUAGGUGUCUGUGUUCACUCCAGGCUGAAGUUACAGGUCUGAGCAAAUAAGGUGUAUAAAAAAUGGAAUCUGUCUUGGAGGACAUCAGAAGGUGAAUUUUCCAAGUUCUUGGACAACCUAGCUGUUGAAAAGCUUUCUGGGUUUGGGGGGUAUUUCAGAUGUACCUUAAAGUGUUAGCAGACACAGAUUAAGACACUGGGAGCCAAUGAAACAGCAGUUGAGGGUUUGCUGUGUAUCACAUUUCUGUAUUUUAUCACCCCCUUCCUGCAACAUUAUUUAUCUGGAAUCUACCUGCCCUUUUGUUUUUUAGAUACAAGGGCUUGGUUUUGUUACCCAGGCUGGUUUCAAGGCCAUAGCUUUAAGAGAUCCUCUCACCACAGAUUUCCAAAGUGCUGGGAUUGCAGGUGUGAUUCAUGGCACCCAGACUUUGCUGCCUUUCUUACAUGAUCCAGGCCCAGAACCCAAACUCAGGCACUGUAUAGAUGACCACUUUCGUAAACUACUGACCUAGCUUGUUGCCAAUUGUUGAUUGAACUUCCCAUAACUCCACUUCGUGUCUGUUCCUCUGUAUACAGCCACCUUCUGUUCCCGUCAUGAGCCUUUAGGUCUCCAUUUGCAUAUUGCAAAUACUAUGUUCCAUGUAGGUAGCUCAUUCAGGGCCUUGCUCUUCACUUCAAAAAAGGUUCCCUUGAGGACUGGCUGUCAAUUUGUGUUGCUGUGUUGGUUGUUGAUGAAAAUAAUAAAAUGAUUGAUUACAUA
rnacentral:lncRNA from 1 species